UACGGAGGGUGCGAGCGUUAAUCGGAAUUACUGGGCGUAAAGAGUGCGUAGGUGGUUAAUUAAGUUAUCUGUGAAAUCCCUGGGCUUAACCUGGGCAGGUCAGAUAAUACUGAUUGACUCGAGUAUGGGAGAGGGUAGUGGAAUUUCCGGUGUAGCGGUGAAAUGCGUAGAGAUCGGAAGGAACACCAGUGGCGAAGGCGGCUACCUGGCCUAAUACUGACACUGAGGCACGAAAGCGUGAGGAGCAAACAGG
rnacentral:rRNA from 1 species